CUCAGGCUGAAUGACACUGGAAAUGACCAGUUCUUUAUGGGAGACUCCACCUUCCCCAGGAUCCCUUGGGACCGGCCUGCGCAGGAUAACUCCUUGCCUUCAUUCUCCUGCUAGCCUCAUUGCCUUUGCACAAGCUCUUCCCUCUGCCUGGAACACUUGUUGCUUCAGGAGUCGGCUCGAUGUAACUUCUACAGGGACCUGAGCCCCAAUCCAAGUUAGACACCUGGUUAUUGCAGCAGCCUGUAUCUCACCGUCCCAGAAUGAAUCAUGACUGCAAUGAAAACGAUGGCAUGAGCAUUUGUUACCAUCAGGCUUCCGCCCUAGAUUAUGAGCUCCCUGAGGACAAGCAGAGGGUUCAUCUCUCUUUAUAGCUAGAACCCAGCACAGCGCCUGGCACUCAGGAGGCACCCAAUUACUUUGGCUGACUGGAUAGACAUACAUACAGACGGACGGAUAAAUGGCUGGAAGAGGAGUGAUUGAAAAAAUACAUUUUAAAAUGCC
rnacentral:lncRNA from 1 species